rnacentral:rRNA from 1 species
AAAUUUUUUUUAACUUACUAGCACUGGGCAGGUGUCAGUAUCCUUACUUCAUAAUUACAUUUUGCGGAUACCUGUGUUUUUGAUAAACAGUCGCUUGAACUUUUUAAUUGCAGCCUUAUAGGCAUCCUUUAUCCCGAAGUUACAGGAUUGUUUUGCCGAGUUCCUUAAAGAAAUUUAUUUCGUCCUCUUAGUACGUUAUAGUACCUACUCACUUGUGUCAGUUUUAGUACGGGCAUAUCUAU